UCUUGUUUUCGAUGUGUUUUAGCAGCUGCAGUAAAGCUCCUCGUUUUUAAUCCACCUGAAUUUCUACAGAAACAAGAACUGUGUUUGUCAACAGAUCAAUACUGAAAAAUUUACCAUUUUAUAUUUACUAUAUUUAAUGUCCUAAAAUCCAAGAAAUGUCCUGAAAUCCUGGAAACGUCUGGCUGCUGUAAGGGGCCCCUGAACAGAGCAGACUCAGCAGAAGACGUCGGACUGUCUUCAGUGUGAGCUCCUGACCGAAAAAGAGCCGCAGCCGUUCCUCGGCGAUCUCAUAUCCAUAAUUCAGAUGGUGAACUCGUGACCCUGCUGAUGGCUCCUCCACAGACUUUUCAGGACACUUCAUAACCUCCUGUCCUCUUCAUGAACUUUUCAUAUCACCCGAGCACAAAUAAAAUGUACCAUGCAUGACGUCAAA